AUUGAACGCUGGCGGCAGGCCUAACACAUGCAAGUCGAACGAGUGGCGGACGGGUGAGUAAUGUCUGGGAAACUGCCUGAGGGAGGGGGAUAACUACUGGAAACGGUAGCUAAUACCGCAUACCAUCGGAUGUGCCCAGAUGGGAUUAGCUAGUAGGUGGGGUAAAGGCUCACCUAGGCGACGAGCCCUAGCUGGUCUGAGAGGCUGACCAACUGCACUGGAACUGAGACACGGUCCAGAUUCCUACGGGAGGCAGCAGUGGGGAAUAUUGCACAAUGGGCGCAAACCUGAAGCACCCAUGCCGCGUGUAUGAAGAAGGCCUUCGGGUUUUCCAGUACUUUCGGCAGGGGGGCGUUACCCGCAGAAGAAGCACCGGCUAACUACGUGCCAGCAGCCGCGGUAAUUC
rnacentral:rRNA from 1 species